CACCUUGGCAAUGGGCAAAAGACACUUUGUUGUUAGUGUUUUUAUACCAGUCAGAGGCAGAGAAGAUGGAAAUCCUUUGUUCAGCCUAGCUUGAUGCCUGGUUUGGUGACCGAAGAUGUCUUAUACCUAGGACUCAUAA